GAAUAUUGAUUUCUGUCGUCAGCUGUGUUGGCUCACCUGGGCUUUCACUUUGAGAGAAAUCAUGAUGGAGAUUUACACGACUACUAGUGCUUAAAAAGAGAAGACAGCAAUUGGACAUCACAGAAGGUGGACCAUUAAAGAGAAACUGGAAGGGAGGAUUGUCAUCAAAACAGAUAACUAUUAAUAACAAUUAAUAAUAUACAACUAUCCCCCGAAGGGGUGGUGAAUAGUGGUAGAUAUAUACUGAGAUGCGAAGCAUCGAGGUAUAUAUCCACCGCUCUUCAACGACCCUGAGGGGGAUUGUUGUUUUAGUAUUUACCAA